rnacentral:rRNA from 1 species
GACGAACGCUGGCGGCGUGCUUAACACAUGCAAGUCGAACGGAAAGUCCCUGCUUUUGUGGGGUGCUCGAUUGGCGAACGGGUGAGUAACACGUGAGUAACCUUCCCUUGACUUUGGGAUAACUUCAGGAAACUGUGGCUAAUACCGGAUAGGAGCUCCUGCUGCAUGGUGGGGGUUGGAAAGUUUCGGCGGUUGGGGAUGGACUCGCGGCUUAUCAGCUUGUUGGUGGGGUAGUGGCUUACCAAGGCUUUGACGGGUAGCCGGCCUGAGAGGGUGACCGGCCACAUUGGGACUGAGAUACGGCCCAGACUCCUACGGGAGGCAGCAGUGGGGAAUAUUGCACAAUGGGCGGAAGCCUGAUGCAGCAACGCCGCGUGCGGGAUGACGGCCUUCGGGUUGUAAACCGCUUUCGCCUGUGACGAAGCGUGAGUGACGGUAAUGGGUAAAGAAGCACCGGCUAAUUACGUG